UUGGUCUGCUGCUGUCUGUCUAGUCAUGCCCGUACCUACCCACUGAGGCACACCUACAGCCUGAAGCAAAGGGGGCUGCACACCUUCGACGAAAGAGAUCUGCAUGUGAUAGUCUGACCUAAAUGUAGAAGAAAAAGAAAGUGAAGAACUGAAAUCCAUGGAGAAGUCAACUUCGUGGGUGGUGCACUGCAUUGUGGGACUGAAAAGCAUCCUGGUAAAGCAAAGCCUCCAGUCACCAGGAGACAUCAGCAGAGCUGUCCUAUGCAUGUCUCCUUCUCAAACUCCACCAUCCUUGUAACAGCAUUUCUGGUGGGCCUUAACGCUUUUUGGGUGGUUGACUAUGAAUCCCCCCUUCAUCAGGAGCAGUUAAAACAAUCCUGCACCUGUUGACAGGGAUCACUCCAGGACUUGAUUGAACUAUGGAGUUACCGAAACCCAUCAAUACCAAAUUCAUGUAGGAUACAUAGGGGAGAAUAGAGCAAGACUGGCCAUUGUGUUAAUGGUGUUGCUCUUGCCCUGCCUCCCUGAAGACCUACUCUUAUAGUUGUCUCGGUCUUGAUGGACACUGCCUAAAGUCUGAUAGGCUGUCCCUAGGUGCAGUCACAUAACUUUCUCUUUCUUAUCAAGUUUCCCUUAUGUGAAUUACUCAUCUCCAUUGCGACUGCUUUCCAAUUGGCUAUGGUGGAGCCUUUUCUUGGGGCACAGGGAGCGGGGCAACCUUCUGGAACAUCCUUGUUUAGGCUUUGAUGAGAAUGUGCAAUUCAUGUUCUAUAUUUAUAUGUUUUGUGAACCCUCAUGUCCUAGGUGAAGUAUACUGAUCUGUAAACCUGCUGAAUUAAUACCCCACUCUUCAAGGGAUGACUUUAUUAACCACUUAGUGAUCACCAAUACGACUUGUUAUGUUGGUCACUAAGGGGUCUUAGGCUAUGACAUCGCCUUAUUACGGAGGCAAAGUCUAAGCACUGCCUGCCAGGCCUGCCUGCAGUAUAUCUAUAUCAGGCUGCAUCUCUCUUGUGCAGCUUGCUGAUGACUCUCAGUAUGGAAAAAAAAAAAACGCUUGGUCACCAAGGCCCAAAACAGGUUGGCCACUAAGGGGUUAAGAUACUUCAACUCUUUUACUUUAUAGUGGUAUAAUUUCUUUGUUGUCAUUUACCAGCUGUAUGACACUUUAUUCUUAACAUAUUGUCAAUUUUAU